rnacentral:rRNA from 1 species
AACAAGGUUCCAAAAAGAGGAGUUAGAGAAAGAACUGAAGUAGUUGAAGGGGUUUGCCACCCGAUAAGAAGAACAAUAUCAACCAACCAACCCCCUUCCCUCGAUCUUCCAUGGACUAAACAACCAUCCCAAGAAUACACAAGGAUGAGCCUAUGGCUCCAUCUACAUAUGAAGCAGAGGAUAUCCUUUUCAGGCACCAAUGGGAGCAAAUGCCCUUGGUCCUGUCAAGGCUUGAUGCCCCAGUGUAGGGAACUGUCAGAAUGGGCAGGUUGGAAGGAGUGAGUGGGUGAGUGAGGAACUGCCCUCAGAACAGGAGGCAUGAGGGGAAAUAAUAGCCGGUUUCUAGAGGGCAAAUCAGGAAAGGGGAUAAUAUUUAAAAUGUGAAUUAAAAACAUCCCCUCCCCCAAUGAAAGAAAAAGAAAGAGAAAUAGAGAAAGAAAAAGAAAAACAAAUGGGGGUACAUAACUAAACAGAUGCCCACUGGCGAUGCAGCGAUGUUAUUCCCAUGAUAGUCAAGCAUCUUCUGGGAAACCAUAGUCUUUGUGUUCUGGGGGGAGUAUGGUGGCAAAGCUGAAACUUAACGGAAUUGAUGGAAGGGCACCACCAGGAGUGGAGCCUGCAGCUUAAUUUGACUCAACACGGGAAACUUCACCCGGCCCGGACACAGACAGGAUUGACAGAUUGAUAGCUCUUUCUCGAUUCCGUGGGUGGUGGUGCAUGGCCAUACUUAGAUGGUGCAGCGAUAUGUCUGGUUAAUUCUGAUAACGAACUAGACUCUGGCAUGCUAACUAGUUACGCGACGCCCUGAGCGGUCGGCGUCCCCCAACUUCUUAGAGGGACAAGUGGCGUUCAGCCACCCAAGAUUGAGCAAUAACAGGUCUGUGAUGUCCUUAGAUGUCCGGGGCUGCACGAGCGCCACACUGACUGACUCAGCGUGUGCCUACCCUACAAAGGCAGGCGCGGGUAACCCAUUGAACCUCAUUCGUGAUGGAGAUCGGGGAUUGCAAUUAUUCCCCAUGAACGAGGAAUUCCCAGUAAGUGCCAGUCAUAAGCUUGUGUUGAUUAAGUCCCUGCCGUUUGUACACACCACCCUUCGCUACUACCGAUUGGAUGGUUUAGUGAGGCUUGAGAUUGGAUGGUUUAGUGAGGCCUGAUCGGCCCAUGGCCCUGUCGGAGGGCUGAGAAGAAGGUCGAACUUGACUAUCUAGAGGAAGUAAAGUCAUAACAAGGUUUCUGUAGGUGAACCGGUGGAAG